rnacentral:rRNA from 1 species
AGCAGGCAGAUCCAAUUUUCUGCCACCGAAUACAUUAGCAUGGGAUAAUGGAAUAGGACCCUGUCCUCCUAUUUUCAGUUGGUUUUGGCAGCGCGAGGACUAGGGUAAUGAUUAAUAGGGAUAGUUGGGGGCAUUAAUAUUUAAUUGUCAGAGGUGAAAUUCUUGGAUUUAUGAAAGAUUAACUUCUGCGAAAGCAUCUGCCAAGGAUGUUUUCAUUAAUCAAGAACGAAAGUUAGGGGAUCGAAGACGAUCAGAUACCGUCGUAGUCUUAACCAUAAACGAUGCCGACCAGCGAUUAGGAGACGUUGAAUACAAAACACCACCAUCGGCGCGGUCGUCCUUGGCGUCUGUCCCUUUCAACGGGGGCAGGCGCGAGGGC